GGUGGGGUGGCCGAGCGGUCUAAGGCGCGCGCCUGCAGAGCGCGUUUUCGCGGGUUCAAAUCCCGCCCCCACCU
rnacentral:tRNA from 1 species